AAUACAACUUUUCUUUCCAAAUCCUCUUCCGUCCCUGGAUACCACAAGAACACAUUUCAGCUGCAGUAGGGACAAAGAUAUUUAUUUUGAUUUAUGGUUUUCUAUCUGCUUCCCCUUAGCCACAAGAUGCUGAUCUCCAAGCAGACACGUCAUCUCUGCAUAUCUCUGCUCCCCAGCCAGACAGUGACCUAUUUCAGAAGUCAAACUGAGAUCAAAUGUUACUUUCUGGUUCAUGGGUUCAAAAAAAAAAUGAAUCACAAGAGGACUAGAGGAAAGACAUGUUCAUCCUGCACACUGCUGUGUCCACAGCUCUCAGUCUGCCCUGAAAAAGAUGCAGUUACAACAGACUGAAUCUCUUUACAAACUAAAGUGGAAACUUGGUUUGCUGAACUGCUGGGAUCUAUUGUAAAGUUUAAAAGAGAAGAUUCAAACUGUGUCCAUGGACAUCUUGGCUGACCUCUGGUAUACCACUCUCAAGGAUCACUACUGCAAAAUAUAGCCCAAUUCACUUAGGAUGGGACAUGCCAUCUGUCUUUACUUUCAGCAGUGUAUUUUUUUUCUUCUGCAAAACCAUCUGUCCAGAAGAACAGACUCGCUUUCAAGGGACAGUCAGGACUCACAGCAUAGUCUUUCUUCUCAGCAUGCCACUUUGAAUGAUUGUAAAGGCAAUGAGUGGUUUUAAAGGCAGAGUUUUAUUUUCAAAUUUUGAAAAGUCCCUAGUUUGAAAUACAUUACAAAAAGUGUUCCACAAAGUCAACCUGGAAUAGAUGCUUGCAUACCUCUAUGCCCAACUUCACCUAGGAUGCCAUACUUUCUCUGAGAAGCAGCGCCUGUGGGGCUGCCACUUGCCACCUCUUAUUUCACUGGUCAGUUGAAAUAAGCCAUGACAGAGGGUGCUCCAGGAAUCUCCUCAGCACUCAGAUAUAUACUGACUCAUCACAUCUGUCAGCAGUUGUCUUCCCAGUGAUGCCAACAACAUUAAGGGUUGGAUUCUCCCCCACAUUGCCUGGCUGUUUUCUACCAACUUCCAUCAACAAAUCUACCACCAUGAGUCCCCAGUGUGUCCUUCCUAGCCUUCACACAGGACUUGGCUGCAGUGUGAUGGAGCCAAACAUUCCUCAGUACUGGGAAACUUGUUAAAUAAUGCUUUCUUGAAACUCAGUUGUGUUCACUGUAUUUCCACCAACCCCCCCCCCCCCCCCAAAAAAAAAAAAAACACACAAAAAAACUUGCUCUAUGAACUAUAGAGCAGUAUGGGUCUAGAGUGCAAUAUGGCAAAGGUUAGCUAAGAUAUCAAUUGGUACUUCCCACAAAGGAGGACAGUCGAUCAACCUCGACCCUUAACAUCAACAAUCUACUUCAAAGGCAGUGGCUGGAAGCCUGUGACUGUACUAGUGAGUACAAGCAGAUGUGUGUUUCUGUAAAGACAGGUAAAAAUGCAUCCUGUUUUCAAAAUUAUGGUCACUUUUAACAGGAUAAACAUGGGAUCAUUUAGGUGAAUGUCUAGUUGGAUGGGAGUGUGGGAGAAGAACCCAGUCUUUAGUAAAAUACAGUGUAAACAGCAUCCAGACUUGUGGGACUCAAGAGGCAUAGUACCUUCUCAAUGUAUCUGAAGCAGUUCCCCAAAGCUGGUAUGAAUUUGCGCUGUUUGACCAGGAACUUCAUCAAGUUCAUUCCAAAGAUCCUGUGAGGCCUUCUAAACAGUGACACAGGCACAAUGAGGAGACAAGGGAAUCAUAGCACAAGAACAUGAAAAGCCAAUGAGGUCACUGGAGUAAGGGAAGAUACUUCCCAAGCAACGUCCUUUGCCGGAGCUGGAUGUGUGUAUCAUGUAAUGAUAUUUAACAUUGCUUGGAUCACAAUCAGUCAGUCAAAGUAAUGUAAAUCAUGGUAUUCUUUAUGGUGCUGAACAUCUGCUUAUUGUGGCAUUGUGAUGAAGAAUCCCAAAACUCAUUUCAUAAUAAGCAAUGUGAGUGCUUUUAGAUGAUAAUGUAACUUAGUUUCCAUUGACCAAAGCUGGUUUUCAUUCUCAUUUUGAAUAUCAAAACUAAUUUAAACCUAAACUUAAUUUCCACAUUAGGUUAAAUGCAUCUGAAAAUAAAAUGUGGCAAAAUGAGCAAAACUCUUGGGCAGAACAGUAUUAUGAAGAAAUAUGAAAGAAAAAUUUGUCUACUGGGAGACAUGAAUUAUGAAAAAUGAAAUAUCUUUCCAGGUACUCUAUCAAUAUCCUCCACAUGGUAACACAGGUUUGACAGUGUCAAAUUAAUGACAGUGUCAUUAUCAGUGCUAUGAUCUGUGUUAAUAAAAAAAAAAGUUUAAUUUAACGAGGGUUUAGCUCUUCCACUAGCACUAGGACCUUCAGUUGCUGGUGAUCACUGUACAAACUUGUGCACACGUGCAUGUGAUGUAUAUUUGUUUUUUGAUUAACUACAUUAUAAAGGAUUUAGCUAUUAUGAGUGUGUUAUCUGUUGUACUGUAUAAUAUUUAAACAAAAAUUAAACAAAACCUAGGCUCAAUGCCAAAAAUAAGGAAUCAUUCUUUCAAAUAAAACUGAGGUAAAGAAGGUUGCAGAACUGCCACUCCAAGAUUAUUUUUCUUUAUUGUGUGAUGUAUUUUCCCUCCUAAUGGAAAAGUCAGAUGAAUAAGCAGUGAAUUAAACUUAGGUGCACCAGAAUUUCAGUUCAGCAUCUGCAAGUAUUGUGUGUACACUGGCACUUUGUGAUUUCCAGCACAUGAAUCUAUCUCUCUCUAUUUUGCAAAAGUGGACCAAUAAUUCAUGUUUCUCCAUUUUCCUUAGGACUAUGGCCAUCUUCAGACCAUGGCCAUCAGACCACUGACAUUUUGCUGUGGGAAAGAGUUCCAUUAAUACAGAUUUUCAAGUGAGCACUCUG